rnacentral:tRNA from 1 species
GCCCCUGUAGCUUAGCGGUAGAGCGCAUGGCUGUUAACCAUGAGGCCGCCAGUUCGAAUCUGGCCGGGGGCG